ACGUCCAUACCAUGCUGAAUAGGUUCUCGUUCGCUCACAGAAUCUAAGCAGCCUCGGGCGCGGUCAGUACUUGGAUGAGUGAACGCCUGGGAACAC